UACAGAGGGGGCAAGCGUUGUUCGGAAUUACUGGGCGUAAAGGGCGCGUAGGCGGCCUGCUAAGUCGAACGUGAAAUCCCUGGGCUCAACCCAGGAACUGCGUCCGAUACUGGUUGGCUUGAAUCCGGGAGAGGGAUGUGGAAUUCGAGGUGUAGCGGUGAAAUGCGUAGAUAUCUGGAGGAACACCGGUGGCGAAGGCGACAUCCUGGACCGGUAUCGACGCUGAGGCGCGAAAGCCAGGGGAGCAAACGGG
rnacentral:rRNA from 1 species